rnacentral:rRNA from 1 species
CCUACGGGUGACAGCAGUGAGGAAUAUUGGUCAAUGGGCGCGAGCCUGAACCAGCCAAGUAGCGUGAAGGAUGACUGCCCUACGGGUUGUAAACUUCUUUUGUCAGGGAGCAAUUGGCGCUACGUGUAGCGUUAUCGAGAGUACCUGAAGAAAAAGCAUCGGCUAACUCCGUGCCAGCAGCCGCGGUAAUACGGAGGAUGCGAGCGUUAUCCGGAUUGAUUGGGUUUAAAGGGUGCGUAGGCGGAAUGCCAAGUCAGCGGUAAAAUCGCGGGGCUCAACCUCGCUCCGCCGUUGAAACUGGCGUUCUUGAGUGGGCGAGAAGUAUGCGGAAUGCGUGGUGUAGCGGUGAAAUGCAUAGAUAUCACGCAGAACUCCGAUUGCGAAGGCAGCAUACCGGCGCCCAACUGACGCUGAAGCACGAAAGCGUGGGUAUCGAACAGGAUUAGAUACCCCAGUAGUC